UCUGCGUACUUUGAUGUGUGCAUGACUUUGUUCCUGUUUGUAUCUUUGUAAGCCAAGAAUGAUUAGAUGACUAGAACAUUUUUAUUACUGACUUUCACAAAGUUAAUUCUGGGUUAUUUCUUGGCAAUGGUUUACCACUUUACGGUUACAGCUGGGGUUACGUUAAGCUCUAGUUUUAAGGCUUUGGCACUGGCAUAUAGGCUCAGGUUUAGGGUUAAGAUUUGGGUUCAUUUAAGGGUUUGGGGUUAAGGAAAUAGGAGUCGACUCUAAAAUAAAUCUUUGGUCCUCGCAAAGAGAAACAAGUAUGUGUGUGUGUGUCCAUGUGAGUGAGAGUGUAUGAGGACAAUAGCUUUAGCUUGCAUGCCUUCACUACAGUACAAAAUGUUCUGGGUCAGGAGAGCUGGCACUAGACCAAGUCUCCGGACUGGAGUAACCCCAGUCUCACUACUCCGUAACUCUCUCAUUCUGGCUUGCAUUUAACUCACAGCCCGAGCUUGUUCUUUCUAAUGACACACCCACAAACUAUUACACAGUUUAGUUACACUUUUCAAAAUAUCCACAAAUAUGAUUUUCUGUUCAUGUGAAGAAGCUUUACUAACCCCAGACUGGUAACAGGGACCAACACACACUUAGAUAAGCAUUAGUAGAUAAACUGGAAGGACAAUGUAUUCACGUUCUUCACUUGUUUAUAACAGUUAGAACAUUUCAGCCACCUUUUCUUGGCUGUUGUUAUAAUUUCUUUCCUGUGUAUGUUCUCUUUAAUUCUCAUUUGUUUGCUCUCAGGAAUACUCUCAGGACAGCACGGCUCCGAGCUUUAUUAUUGGCACCUUGUAAUGCUGCUGAUGGAGGAAGUGAAGCUUAUUGCUCACUUACUCACUUAUUGUUACUCAUUCACUUUAUGGUUAUUUUCAGCCCAAACAAUGGAGUCAAGAUCCUUUCCCCAUCCAGUCAAACAUGAAAAUGAACAGGGCUGUUAAAGCAUUGCCUUUGACUUCAGCCAGUAAUAAUACUGGUCUUCCUUUAGGUAGUGCCUUUUUUUCUUAAUUGCCUCAUUAGGAUAUUGGGACUCUGGUGUUUUUGUGGGUUUUGAACGUGUAAUUAAUUUUUUUAAAAAAAUCUGGUAUUUCAUUUUGUAAAAGGAGGGUAGUGUAGCAUCUGCAAAAUACUAUAUUAUAAGUUCAACAAGUCAUGUUUUGUCUUAUAUAAUUUACCUAAUUUGAAAAACUAACACUAUCCCAAAAUUGUAUUAAUGUUCAGCCAUGGGCAUCUUUCAACACUCGUUAGGUGCUCAGGUAAUUACUGUGAUCUUUUAUAAUGCUAAAAGGUGCUAUUUUUGAACUGAUAAACAAACAUUUUAGAGGCGCAGAUUCAGGUCUGGAACCAGGAGUAGGCAUGCAGUGAAGAAAGUACAGCUAAUGAAAACUUCGAUUCGUUCGAUUGGGUGGGGCUGAACAAUGAAUUACUUUUGCCGGCUAAAAUGACAAAUGUUGCUGCCAAAUUGACUCAUCUGUAGCUAAUAAACGUUAAUUUCAUGAGUUGGCCAAACUAUAAAAUGAAAAUCAUGGCUGUUGUCUCGUUAAUAUGCUCUGCAUGCUAAUAUCAGACAGGUAACACUAGCUAGUAGUUGUUGAGUAAAUUACUAAUAGCUGGCAGAUAUAAAGCUCUGAAUGGGGAGUUCCACGAUUCAGGGUUGUGGAAUCUUUCUGAUUUCUGGGACCUCCGGAUUUACAAAUUAGCCACUGGUUAUUUCACAAGACUUAGGUGUGCUACAAAACUAAAAUUCUAUAUUUUUAAGACUUGUUUGUCACUGAAGUUUUAUGACUCCCCUCCAACGCCAUCACCGUGUGUGUGGGGGGGUCAGGAACAGGGGAAGGCUUGUGGAGCAGCGCAGUAAUCACCCAUUUUACACUGGUGGGGUUUUAGAUCAUUUUAUAACUUUCUGAUUUUUUUAUGAACUUUAUGGCGGUCUGAGUUGUGGAAUUUGUGAAUGUUCCUCUUGUUUCAGGCAGAAGAGAGAGAGUGCAGGGUUUGACUUCAGUGAUGGAUGUUGAGGUCCUGUGGUCCAAGUAAUUCCCCUGCCCCUUCCUCCUUUACCUUUUAACUUCAGUGGUAAAAAUGGGUUUGGUACAUUCUUUGGGCUGAACAACCUUUGGUCACAGGAAGCCAGAGAGCCUCCUGACUCUAUGUGGUUCCUACUUAUUGUCUCCACCAGCAGGAACGCACAGAUUUUCAGCACUGCCAUGUUUUCACUUCAUCUGCUGCUUUCCUCUUGUACCCACUGGGUGAGCGGUGGUUGUGUGCCUGUAGGUGGCUUGAUAAUCGUCUGUGUUGUGUGUGUGUGUGUGUGUGUAAUUCAAUCAUGGCUGACUGUUGCAUUGUUGGCAAGUUGUGUGCAAGUGUUAAUACAGAGGAUUUCAUUCUAUCCAAACACUUGAAAUGUAAUUUGCUGAGGCGCUGAGAAAUCCACAGCAAGCUAUCCAAAGAUUAUUGAUCAUGUACUGUGUGCUUCCACAAUAAAAAAACACUGACAAGGAUUUUUUUAAUAUAAGUUGUAAAUUGAAGUUAAGAAAUAAAAAUUAGAAGUUUUGAUACAAAAGUUUUAACCAGCUAGAUUUAUGUGUUUUCCGGGUGACAUCUUUGGUGCUAAGCGUUAACUGCUGUAGUAUGUCUGCAUUACUGUCGCUAUCAUUAAACUAAGCAUAAAAUGCUCUCCUCCAAGCAGCAACAAGGACUCUGUUGGAAGAACUAACACACUAAAGUACAUAUUCAGAGACUGAUGUAAUCAAACAUGAACACUAGAUUCAGUAAUACCAAAAGCUUAGCACAUAAGGAGGAGACUGAGGUGGUGUAGUGAGUUAUGCCAUCGAGCAGUGCUGGUACGAGGUCAUCAGAGCGAUUGUAAGAAGUGUCCGAAUAUAAAGGCCUGCCCUUACCCUUAUAUAAAUGUGUUUGGAUGUUACUAGUCUGGUCUUUUUUUUGUUACAUUUCUGCAUUACACUGUAACUGUUGCAGCCAUGCAAAUUUUACUUCACUCGUAAUUGUGACAAUUGAAGAACCAAGAGGAAGAUUCACAUGGAACAAACAGCAACAUGCUUUUCAGUAACAGUUAAUGAUACUUAAGUAUUUUUCUCAACAGAGAUGAUUGGGAUCCAUCAAUCUUCUAUUUCCAUCAUAUACACUAAUUUAGCCUGGAAUCUGCCCAGUUUCGAGUACUGAUAUCUGUUGUUUCCCUCUUGACAGCAACCACAGACAGACAGAUCGCAGAGGUCCAACUGAGGGUUUUUUGCAGAUGGAAAAACUGUAACUGUUUAUCAUUAUGGCUCUCUGCCUGUACUCAACAACCACUGCAGCCAGGUGGGAUGCAAGCCUCCAUAGACUCUCCUUUGUAGACGCGGCGAUGCCUCGGCCUGCUGUGCAGCACCAGGCUGCAGCGGAAUUUUCAUUAUUUUCAAAGAGGCUGCUCCUUCUUGGGUGGUCCUUGCCAUGUGUCGGCCUUGGGUAUGCGUAAAUAUGUGUGUAUCUGAGUGUGCAUGUGUUAGGGAGUUUGAGUCUUGUUGCUUGCACGGUUUGUGAAUAAAUUUUGUCCGUGUGGCUUUGCAAGUGUGCGUUUUUGCCCAAAACUGCACAAGUCACGGAUUUCCUUCUCACGUAAUUAGCCAUGGCUGCAAUUUACGAGGGUGAUAAUCUAAACUGGGCAGUAGCCAAGUGGUUAGGACACAGCUAAAUACAGCUGUUGUCCACCGCUCAUGCUUUUUCUUAGUGAAAACUAAAUAAGUAUUUGACUAAAAUCUGAUUAAGAUGUUUCUGUUUUCACAACUAAAAUAGUACAAACAUAUAGAAAAGGUCUUUAACAAACUGAAAGUGGUGACCCUUGACUUUGUGUCAGUGCAGGGCCCCGUAUCCACAUACAAUUACUCCCCUCUAAAAGCAUUUUCAGGCUGUUGGGUAAUUCCUUAAGCAGGACUUGUGGUAUCUGGAAUACAGAUUUGAGAGCAAUAUACAUAUAAAAUAAGUGCUACUCACUCACUACCUACAGGUUUACAGUGACACUGAACAGAUUAUAUCAGAACACUUUGUGAUGCCUUGUCUCCCGCAUGCACAUUUCAUGAGUUUUAGGCCAGAACAAUAAAAAAGUCCAUUAGGUACAUUGGUGAGUACAAUAAAUGCGAACCCAAAGUCACCACAUUGCAGUUUAAACUCCUUUGAGAAAGAAUUUAUACAACUCUGGAAAGUUAUCACAACACCAACCUUUAUUUUUCUCUGUCUCAGCUAUAGACGUACAGUAUUAAGAGAGCUGGAGAUGGUGUGACAAGUCAUCCCUGCUGCCAAUUUGUCAGAGUGGCCAACCGUAAUACUGCAACAGAAAAAUCCCCAUCGGGACAAAAAACAUUUUCCCCAUGUGCCACCAUCAUAGAAGACAUGUCAGUAAAACCGUUGACAGGAUUCCAACAAGGAACAAUAGCCUGCGGUGAAGUCCUGAGGAGCAGCCAAAGCCGGGAACAAUGCGAGGGGCGUCGCGUGCCUCAGCAGGAGGUGGUUCAUGCCCGGGCCUUCGCCGGGGGCAUCAAGAGUCAUGACUAGAACCAGGUGAAAUGCCUGGCAUGCCACAGUCCCAUCUGGCUUCCUGCAAAGGAAAACUGUCCCAAAGAAACCCAGAAAGGGAGAAAGUGAAGGAUUAUGUUCACCGUCCAGUGUGGUGGAAUGUCGGGCUGGGAAGGAUGGAGACGAGCCAGCGGUGCUGAUUGGACCCGAACCACCGGCAUUCAGUGACCAAAGAAUCUGGCUUUAACUUCUCCAUGGGGGGUGGGAGGUGGGGGUAAGAGGCCAAGGCCAAAAUAUAUACUCUCUCAGAACACCAUGGAACCAUAUGUACUCCACCACAAAUAGGUUGUAUUUACCUUUUUUGCUGCAUUUGGUGAAGUUUUUAUGUCACAAUUUGCCUGUCUUUGCCUAAAUUAAUCUUAGGAGUUGACUGUGGUCGCCGACAUUGAAAAUUUUCUCCUAAUCAGCAACUUCAAGAGAAAGCUGAACUGAAAAUGCUGCCUUCUGGGGACAAUCUAACAUCUAACAUUUGUGAACAUUUGUGAACAUGAUCAAUGGAUCGGUUUGCUCUCAAGGACUGAAAACAUUUUAAACAGUUCAAAGACACCAUGCAUCAGUGCCAGCUCAAGUUUUACCCUCUUUUGACUGGCAGCAGUGUUUUCUAGUACAUGCAUUUCCAUCUACCUGUUUUUAUGUGCAUUUUCAACUUGUGCAUCACAAAAGUGAGUGGAUUGCCAGGAACUGGUUGAAGUGGAAAAGUCAGCAUAUCAAUAAAGGAUGAUGGAAGCAUAUA